AAUAAAAUGGCUGAAGUUUAAGCGAUAAAUUGUAAAUUUAUUUAUGAGAAUUAUCUCUUUUAUUA
rnacentral:tRNA from 1 species